GGUGGCUCAGUGGUAGAGUGCUUGCCUCACAUGCAAGAGGCCCGGGGUUCAAUUCCUCAGCACCA
rnacentral:tRNA from 1 species